rnacentral:rRNA from 1 species
UACGAAGGGGGCUAGCGUUGUUCGGAAUCACUGGGCGUAAAGGGCGCGUAGGCGGCUAUUCAAGUCGGGGGUGAAAGCCUGUGGCUCAACCACAGAAUUGCCUUCGAUACUGUUUGGCUUGAGACCGGAAGAGGACAGCGGAACUGCGAGUGUAGAGGUGAAAUUCGUAGAUAUUCGCAAGAACACCAGUGGCGAAGGCGGCUCACUGGCCCGAUACUGACGCUGAGGCACGAAAAGCGUGGGGGAGCAAACAGG